rnacentral:rRNA from 1 species
AAGGCGACGAUCAGUAGCCGACCUGAGAGGGUGAUCGGCCACAUUGGGACUGAGACACGGCCCAAACUCCUACGGGAGGCAGCAGUGGGGAAUAUUGCACAAUGGGCGAAAGCCUGAUGCAGCAACGCCGCGUGAAGGAUGAAGGGUUUCGGCUCGUAAACUUCUAUCAAUAGGGAAGAAACAAAUGACGGUACCUAAAUAAGAAGCCCCGGCUAACUACGUGCCAGCAGCCGCGGUAAUACGUAGGGGGCAAGCGUUAUCCGGAAUUACUGGGUGUAAAGGGAGCGUAGGCGGCAUGGUAAGCCAGAUGUGAAAGCCUUGGGCUUAACCCGAGGAUUGCAUUUGGAACUAUCAAGCUAGAGUACAGGAGAGGAAAGCGGAAUUCCUAGUGUAGCGGUGAAAUGCGUAGAUAUUAGGAAGAACACCAGUGGCGAAGGCGGCUUUCUGGACUGAAACUGACGCUGAGGCUCGAAAGCGUGGGGAGCAAACAGGAUUAGAUACCCUGGUAGUCCACGCCGUAAACGAUGAGUGCUAGGUGUCGGGGAGGAAUCCUCGGUGCCGCAGCUAACGCAAUAAGCACUCCACCUGGGGAGUACGACCGCAAGGUUGAAACUCAAAGGAAUUGACGGGGGCCCGCACAAGCGGUGGAGCAUGUGGUUUAAUUCGAAGCAACGCGAAGAACCUUACCAAGGCUUGACAUCCCGAUGACCGCUCUAGAGAUAGAGCUUCUCUUCGGAGCAUCGGUGACAGGUGGUGCAUGGUUGUCGUCAGCUCGUGUCGUGAGAUGUUGGGUUAAGUCCCGCAACGAGCGCAACCCUUAUCUUCAGUAGCCAUCAUUCAGUUGGGCACUCUGGAGAGACUGCCGUGGAUAACACGGAGGAAGGUGGGGAUGACGUCAAAUCAUCAUGCCCCUUAUGUCUUGGGCUACACACGUGCUACAAUGGCUGGUAACAAAGUGACGCAAGACGGCGACGUUAAGCAAAUCACAAAAACCCAGUCCCAGUUCGGAUUGUAGUCUGCAACUCGACUACAUGAAGCUGGAAUCGCUAGUAAUCGCGAAUCAGCAUGUCGCGGUGAAUACGUUCCCGGGCCUUGUACACACCGCCCGUCACACCAUGGGAGUUGGAAGCACCCGAAGUCGGUGACCUAACCGUAAGGAAGGAGCCGCCGAAGGUGAAGCCAGUGACUGGGGUGAAAU